rnacentral:rRNA from 1 species
GAUGAACGCUGGCGGCGUGCCUAAUACAUGCAAGUCGAGCGAACGGACGAGAAGCUUGCUUCUCUGAUGUUAGCGGCGGACGGGUGAGUAACACGUGGAUAACCUACCUAUAAGACUGGGAUAACUUCGGGAAACCGGAGCUAAUACCGGAUAAUAUUUUGAACCGCAUGGUUCAAAAGUGAAAGACGGUCUUGCUGUCACUUAUAGAUGGAUCCGCGCUGCAUUAGCUAGUUGGUAAGGUAACGGCUUACCAAGGCAACGAUGCAUAGCCGACCUGAGAGGGUGAUCGGCCACACUGGAACUGAGACACGGUCCAGACUCCUACGGGAGGCAGCAGUCGGCAAUCUGCCGCAACGAGCGAGAGUCUGACGGUGCAACGGCGCGUGCGUACAGAAGAUCUUCGGGUCGUAAAAAUCUGUUAUUAGGGAAGAACAUCCGUGUAAGUAGCUGUGCACAUCUUGACGGUACAUAAACAGACAGCCACGGCUAACUACGUU